rnacentral:rRNA from 1 species
GACGAACGCUGGCGGCGCGCUUAACACAUGCAAGUCGAGCGAAGCGGCGGACGGGUGAGUAACACGUGAGUAACCUGCCUUAGACAUUGGGAUAGCCUCGGGAAACCGGGAUUAAUACCAAAUGGUCUAAGAUGGACUCGCGUCCCAUUAGCUAGUUGGUGUGGUAACGGCCCACCAAGGCGACGAUGGGUAGCCGGCAGGAGAGGGUGAGCGGCAACAUUGGAACUCAGAAACGGUGCAGAAGCUGCGGGAGGCAGGAGUGGGAAAUAAUGCAAAGUGGAGGGAAGUCUGAUGGAGCGACGCCGCGUGAACAAAGAAGGCUUUCGAGUCGUAAAGUUCUUUUAUAUGAGAAGCGGAACCAUAAGAAAAAGCCCCGGCUAACUACGUGCCAGCAGCCGCGGUAAUUC